UCAACCUUUUGUUUACUUUGAAAUAAAAUUCAUUCAGAAAAGGGAAGAAUUGUGGACCUAAUAAUUUACUCUUGUAAAGAUAUUAGUAAUCUUGAUGUAUUGUCAAUAAGUUCCAAAUAAUCUGUCAAGUUUUUAGUUGGAUAUUUUUGAGAAACUCUGUAAAUAUCCUAAAUGGUGUGUGGAAGAAUUAAGGUUGUGGCCUGGGGCUGUGGCUCAGUGGUAGAGCAAUAAAUAAAUAAAUAAAGGUAUUGUGUCCAUCUACAACUAAAACAAUUAAAAAAAAAGAAUUAAGGUUAUGAAUAGCUUAGUUGACUUUAGAAAAGGAGGAAAAAAGGGGGACUUAUGAGAUUAAGACAUAUUACAAAGACAUAAUGAUAACUAUGUGGUUAGUAUACGAACAUGUAGAUCUCUCAGAAUAUUAGAGAGUUUAGACAUAGAUCUAUGGAUGUGUGGGAACUUGAUAUAAAGUUAACAGUGCAAUCAAUAGAAACUAAAUUAUUUCACAAAUAAUGUUGAGGGGGCAAGUAGCUUGUUAUAUAUGGGAAAAUAAGACUCCUUUGCAUCAUAUACAAAGGUAGACUCCCAAUAAAUACCAAAUGUGGAAAAAAAACAAAAAGGUUAGAGGAAAUGAAAAAUAUUUUUUGAGAUGUGAGUUUGUACUCUUAAAACCUCAAAGUACAAACUAGAUGUAUAUAUUAAUUUAAUUGUACCAAAUGGGGAGUUUUGAUUAUCAGAGACUCUAUGAGCAUAAUUAACACACAGAAGUGGGAAAUGGCAGACAGUAUUGGCAAUGUUUAAUAUUAACAAGCAAUUAAUACCCUCCAGAGUAUACAAGGAAUUCCUGCAAAUAAUAAAAUGAUAGCAAUCCCAGCAGGAAAAUUUGUAAAGUAUAUAAAAAGGAAUUUAUAGAAAAGGAAACCCCCAAAUCAGCAAGCAUAUGAAGAGUUCCUCAACAUAAUUAACAAUUAGAAAAUGCAAAUUAAAACAAUAAGAUAUGUUUCAUAUAUAUCAGGCUGGUGCACAUUAAAAAAUUGAGCAAUAAGAAGAGUUGCUGAAGGUGCAAAGCUAUGAAGACCCUUAUACAUUGCCCAUGGUCAUGUAGCCUCUCUGAACAAUAGCAUAUAUAUGACUCAGGUGUUCCACUCUUGAUUUUAUAUGCAAAUGACAUCUCAAGUGGAUUCAGGUAAUAACAUAUGCAGGGAUGUUCAUUACAACAUUAUUUGUGGUAGGAAGGCAUUGGUGGAUAUGUAAAUGUUCAGUACUAGCAUAGUAGAGGGUAAAUUAUUCCAGCUACAACUUUCAGCAACAGAACAAUUCUGACACCAGAUGUGUUGGUCUCCAGCAGACAUCAAAUGAGUGUCCUAUAAUUUGAUUCAGUUCUGACAUCAUAUACCACAAGUUCCACAAGCCUACCAGUCACUUCAGAUGCAUAUUGCAAGGUCCCCCUCUUCAGUCCAACCAACUAUGAAAUUGGGGGUUUCAAUGAACCCCUCCUUGAGUUUGAUCAACUUACUAAAGCAGCUCGUAGAACUUAGGAAAACAUUUUAUUCAAGUUUACCCAUUUAUUGUAAGAGCUGUUUCAAAGGAUACAGAUGAAUAGCCAGAUGGAAGAGAUACACGGGACAAGGCAGGUAGAAAGAGCCUCCUUGCCUUCUCUAGAAUCCACCAGGGACCUCUAUGUAUUUACCAAUCAAGAAUCGCUCUGAAUCCAGUCCUUUUGGAGUUUUAAGGAGGUUCCUGAUUGAUUAUAUCAUUUGUCUAUUGCUAUAACUCAAACUUUAGCCCAUCUCUCCUCCCUAGAUGUGGAGGAUUGGGGCUGAAAAUUUAAAUCUUUAUUCUCAUAGUUGGUUCCCCUGUCAAACAACCCCCAUCCUAAGGCUGUCAAAGGAUCCCCCAGCCAUCUGCCAACUGUCAUCUUAUUAGAACAAGAAAUCACCCAGGAAAUUCCAAGAGAUUAGAUCUCUGUGUCUGGAAUUGGGGUCUGAGACCAAAUAUUAGCAAAAGGAUUCUCCUAGCACCUCUGUCUAUAAGAAUUUUAAAGCUCUAUGUAAGAAACCACUGUUUCUUAUUUUAUACACACUCCAUCUCAUUUCAUGAAAUUAGAGAUUCUCUGAAGAUGUGAUCCAUAAAUGUUAUAUAAUUGGCAGUAUGAUUAAGGCAAAUGAAACAACUUGGAGCACAACUAGCAACUUAUCCACCCUAUGGAACUGUUGCUCUCCCAUUAAUAUGUCUUGGACCAUAUAGUUACAUGAAUACCAGACAUAUGGACCAAGUGAGGAGACCCAUUUCAGUCUGUAUGCUGAGCAUAUAGAAUGUUUAAUUUUCCCCUUUUAGUUAAGUAGAGAUAUAAGUUCUAAUAUUGUCUUCUUGCAUUUCAGUUGACACCUCCCCUUUUGAGAUAUAUAUAUAUCUCUUUGAAGACCCUUGGUCUCAAAUACCUGUUUGGAGGAAGUUAUUUUUAAUUCCAAGUUAUGAAUCUUAAGAGUUUAUACACAUUUUUAAUGUGUUCCAUAUACAUCUGUAUUUUUUAAUAUAUAGUGUGAUUUUCCCAAAUCUUGGGGGAAAUUUAACAUUCUAGUAACAAAUGCCUUGAAAGACCCUCUAGUACACAUCUAGUACCUUAAAAUGAUUUCACUGUCAAAGAUCUGACAGAUCUUUGGGAUUGAUAUUUCCUGUCUUAAUAAUACCUCUAGUCUGGCUUUUCUAAGAUGGGUCCCAAUGUGAAAUAUUCUGUUGUGAAAUAACAUAGUUAUUUUAUGACACUCUGAUUUUUUUUUCUUUAACUUUACAGAGACUGUGCAGUUGAUCCAACUUGUGUUUUAUGCAUGGAGUGCUUUUUGGGAAGUAUUCACAGAGACCAUCGAUAUAGGAUGACAACAUCAGGAGGUGGAGGUUUCUGUGACUGUGGUGAUACAGAAGCUUGGAAAGAGGGUCCUUACUGUCAAAAACAUGAACUUAACACCUCUGAAAUCGAGGAAGAAGAGGAUCCUCUUGUGCAUUUAUCAGUAGAUGUGAUAGCAAGAACUUACAACAUUUUUGCUAUUAUGUUUCGUUAUGCAGUAGAGAUAUUAACCUGGGAAAAAGAAAGUGAAUUGCCAGCAGAUUUGGAGAUGGAAGAAAAGAGCGACACCUACUAUUGUAUGUUGUUUAAUGAUGAGGUUCACACCUAUGAACAAGUAAUAUAUACUCUCCAGAAAGCUGUUAACUGUACUCAAAAAGAAGCCAUUGGUUUUGCAACAACAGUGGAUCGAGAUGGACGUAGGUCUGUUCGAUAUGGAGACUUCCAGUAUUGUGAGCAAGCAAAAUCAGUAAUUGUGAGAAAUACCAGUAGACAGACAAAGCCACUCAAAGUUCAAGUUAUGCAUUCGUCUAUUGUUGCACAUCAGAAUUUUGGUUUGAAACUUUUGUCUUGGCUGGGAAGUAUUAUUGGAUAUUCAGAUGGCCUUCGCCGGAUUUUAUGUCAAGUUGGAUUACAGGAAGGACCAUAUGGUGAAAACUCUUGUCUGGUGGAUAGACUGAUGCUUAGUGAUUCCAAAUUAUGGAAAGGUGCUAGGAGUGUAUAUCAUCAAUUAUUCAUGAGCAGCCUACUUAUGGAUUUGAAAUACAAGAAACUAUUUGCCAUUCGAUUUGCAAAAAACUAUGAGCGUUUGCAGAGUGAUUAUGUGACAGAUGACCACGACAGAGAGUUUUCAAUCGCAGACCUCUCGGUUCAGAUAUUCACAGUUCCUUCACUUAAUUUCUGCUCCAUGAGGACCUGGAAGGCCUGGCUUUGUCCCCAAAGCAUCUCCAAAGCCUCCUCAGGCUCUGCUUGGACACCUCCCUCCAGAACAAAGCCCUUACCCAUCUCGAUCCCACAGAUGACCAGGGCUGCUAUCACAGCACCUGCUGACGUCCCUGCGAAGCGAUGGGCUGUGUCCAGCAUCCGAGGCGCCAGAUCCCGAAGGGCAUCCACAACCCCAGCCUGGAAGGAGGGACCACGGUUCAGAGCCUGCUCGCCUCAGCCUGGCCUGCCAAUCCCUGUGGGAACUCGCUGUCAGCUUCCCUGCCAGCCCAGAGCCUGGAAUGUGGCCGUCUCUACUGGGUUGGCCCGGGGAACCCACGGGUGGUUCAGACAGCUACCGCCCGGGCCUGUUCAACCCUGCCAGGUGGCAGUCUCAAAGGUGGUGUGCCUGUCAUCAGAGAGUAGUAAAGUCCAAAGCCUCUGGAACCGAUGGACCUGGAGAUAAGGUGGAAUAACAGAUUGAAAGAGGAAAGCUGUGUCCAGGAGCCACACGCAGGGGGAGCCUGGAGCCUCCUGGGACAGAGGUCCUCCUGACAGUCCCAGUGAACCAGAAGCAAGGCCACCUGCUCUACCCGGCUGCGGUGGCCUGUGUUCAACACUGCUGCAGGGAGGCAUGGCCUCCGUGCCAGUAAACCAGGAACCCACGACUGUACCCAUGAGAAGGCCCCCCGGGCUGUUACCCUGGACCCUCAGGGUGAGACCAUGGAGAAUGUUCAGCUCACUUCCCCUUGUUCCUGGUGUCACACUCAAGGCCCUCAGAACUUCGAGGGAAUGACAUCGAGGAAGAAUCACUUCCCGACACUUCUGCAUUUGAUUUGAAGAGUUGUGUUGUGAUCUUCUCAGGUGUUUUUUAAAACCAAGUUCUCACUUCUCAUAUGACCCAUCGGUCAUAUUAAGAAACAAGACUGCUUAUUGCAUAUAAUUCCAAGACAACCCAAAAUCAAUGCACAGAGGCUGCAGCUGCCAUAAAUAUGAGACUUACGCAUAAGGUCUUCGAAGACUUGCGGGAUUGCUCUUGGGAAGGAGGGUGUGUUUAGGUUGGCUUUUCAAAGAUGGUACAUCACCUCUGCUCACAUCUUGAAAACAGAAAUUUAGUGGAGAACCUGGUUGCUACUUGAUACAAGAGUGUGAAUGUCACAGCAUCACCAAUCGAUAUUAUUAACAAAAAUAUUUAACCUGAAUCUGAGGCCUAACUUCCUGUUCCCAAUAUAUACCAAAUAUGAAGGAACAAGUUAAAUGCUUCUGGGUUCCAAUAAUUGGACAAGUUGAGACUGUGGGGAGGACUGGCAGAAACCAUGGCUGGCUACACAGCAGCUGCCUCCUGCACACUUGUUCCUUGUCUGAAUCUCUGUAGAGCAACUGAGAAGGCUGAGACCCAAUUCCCCAGCCUCCUUUGCAGCUAAGGGUGCUGUUUUAGUCAGUUUUUUUCACUGCUGUGACUAAAGGAUCUAACCAGAACAAGUGUAGUGGAGGAAAAGUUUAUUUGCGGGCUCGCAGUUUUAGAAGUCCAUAUAAGGCUGGCUCCAUUUCUCAAGGCUCUAAAUGAAGCUAAACAUCAUGGCUGGAGAGUGUGGCACAGGGAAGCAGCUCACAUCAUGGUGAUCAAGAAGCAGAGAGUCCAAUGUCCUCCGAUGAUCCCAGCAUCGAUCAAGAACCAUUCAAGAAGAAUCAAACUUGCAUAGGUGCUUGCUUUCUUGUUCCAACUUUUAGUCCAUCCAAGCCAUCAUCCUAUUGGUCAGUGCUGCCCACACUUAGGGAGGGUCUCCCUUUCAAUUGGCUAUCCCACGUGCCAAACAUUCCUAGACACACCCUCAUUGACACACCCAUAAGCCUCUUAAUCCUUGGUAUCUCUUAAUCCGAUCAAGUUGACAAUUCAAAUUGACCAUUACAAGUGCUGAAGAGAUCCACUUUUAGGAGAAAACCCUCUCGAUGGUGCCUCAGGAAGAUUUUCCUUCUUUUCUCUUUCCUCCCCUAUCUGAAAAAUAAAAUACGGUUGUCACAAUUAA